AUUGAACGCUGGCGGCAGGCCUAACACAUGCAAGUCGAACGGUAGCACAGAGAGCUUGCUCUCGGGUGACGAGUGGCGGACGGGUGAGUAACGUCUGGGAAACUGCCCGAUGGAGGGGGAUAACUACUGGAAACGGUAGCUAAUACCGCAUAACGUCGCAAGACCAAAGUGGGUGACCUUCGGGCACACCACCAUCGGAUGUGCCCAGAUGGGAUUAGCUAGUAGGUGGGGUAAUGGCUCACCUAGGCGACGAUCCCUAGCUGGUCUGAGAGGAUGACCAGCCACACUGGAACUGAGACACGGUCCAGACUCCUACGGGAGGCAGCAGUGGGGAAUAUUGCACAAUGGGCGCAAGCCUGAUGCAGCCAUGCCGCGUGUAUGAAGAAGGCCUUCGGGUUGUAAAGUACUUUCAGCGGGGAGGAAGGCGGUGAAGUUAAUAGCUUCACCGAUUGACGUUACCCGCAGAAGAAGCACCGGCUAACUCCGUGCCAGCAGCCGCGGUAA
rnacentral:rRNA from 1 species